GUCCCCGUAGCUCAAUUGGAUAGAGUACCGGCCUCCGAAGCCGGUUGUGACGGUUCGAUUCCGUCCGGGGACGCCA
rnacentral:tRNA from 1 species